UCGAGUGGUUAGGAGAGCUCGUGCAUCUUUGUUUAGAUGACAGACGUUACAGGCCAAACAGACGAGUCUAGAGAAAAUCUGAUUCGGUUUCUAUCUGGGCAAAUCCUGCAGAACAUACUCCGUAAAACUGGCUUAAGAUGCAGUUCUCACGGGCGCACUGGGGAAUAAAAUAUAAACGGAGCCUUUUGGAACCCUCUUGCGGCAAGCGAGGUAAGAAGAAUUAUCAAUACACACAAAAUUUUUCUAUUUAAAGAUGAUAUUGAAUGUGCAGAGUUUUGUCUAAAGGUUGUUUUGCGUCACUGACCGUUAGAUGCUGGCUAAUAAAGAGGUCAGACAGGGCGUUCAGUUUGAGCUUUGAGGUCACAUUGCAUACAGUUAAACAGUGCAACAUGAAAAAGGAAAAACACAAGAUAUCUUUCAUAAAAGAAAUGACAUUAGAUAGGGCCUACUUGAAAAGUCUUUCUUUUUUUCUUUCUUACAUGCAGCAGCUACUGUGGUUGCAGUGCUUCAUUAAAAUAUUGUGGUAAAUGAGGAGGUUAUUUCAUCUUUCUGCAGUUUUUGGCAUGUUGGGCUGCUUGUUUUAAAAUCAGAUGGUUUUACUCAUUUAGAUGAUAUUAAACAUUUCUGCUAUGUGAUUGCUAAAGGGUGUUUUCUUCCUGUCUGGUGUUCAAGAGUCCCUGCACCCUCGUGUCUCUGUGAUCUUUCCUUUUCUACUCAAGCACUGAUGUCUGAAGAACAGCAUGUAGGUUUAUGUGUGCAGGUGGGUAGUUAAGUUGGUUUAUGACGAUUCAAUGUAAUAACACCAUCAGCUGUCUCAUCUCUAGUGUCCUUCAUGCUUAUUGUGUUCUUCAUCUCUCUUCAACCUCAUAUGAGCAGUAGAGCAGCUGUUAAUGUAUGAGAUUCUCAAUUCAAACACAUUUGAUGAGAUUCCCAUUUUGUUCUUUGUUCCCUUUAUAUUUUUCUCUGUGCCAUUUACAGCUCAUUAAACGAGUCCUGUGUGUGUAACAAACGGUUGUUGUGUUGGUGUGAUUGUUUGUUGGUUUUGUUCCCAGCCAAAAAGAAAUAUGUUCUAAGAAUGUUUUGCUAACGUUCCCAUUACACUAUGAAAACGUUAUUUCUGAAUGUUGUUCUGAAUGUUUUAAAAAGGUUUUUCUUGGUUAUGUGAAUGUCAUUCUUAACAAAAAAUGUUAGACGAAUAUCCAUCUAAAACGUUUCUGAAAAAAACAUUUACAUUACAUUUACAUAUAGUCAUUUAGCAGACGCUUUUCUCCAAAGCGACUUACAAAUGAGAAUAUUAGAAGCAAUCAAAUCAACACGAGUGCAACAGUAUGCAAGUGCUAUGUCAAGUUUCAGUUUCACCAGCGAAGUGCUUGUGGCAAGGUUUUUUUUAUUUUUUAUUAUUAAAUACAAAUAGAUGGAGAAAGAGAAUACAAAUGGAAAAAAGAAAAGUAAAAAUAUAAAUAAAGAGUAAGUGCUAUUAUUACUGGGUCAAGUGUUGCCGAAAAAGAUAUGUCUUUAGCAGUUUUUUGAAAAUGUUUAACACUCAACUGCUCGGAUAGAGCAUGGCAGGUCAUUCCACCAGCCGGGAACAGAUCAGGAGAAGGUCAGUGAGAGUGAUUUUGUGCCCCUUUGGGAUGGCACCACAAGGCACUGUUCACUUGCAGAACGCAAGCUUCUGGAGGGCGCAUAAGUCUGAAGUAGUGAGUUUAGGUGUAGUGGUGCAGAGUCAAAAAACGUUUAGAGAACAUUAUUAUAGACUAGAUAACUUUGAACGGGCGUUCUAUUAACGUUACUAGAAGAAUGUUUGUUCAUAACUUUGAGAGAACCUUGCCAGAACGUUACAUGUUAGCUGGGGUGUUGGUUUUUGUUUUGACCUGCUUUAGUUCAAAAGACUUUCAUUCGUCUGUGAAUCUGUCCGUUUAAACCAACACAACACGAUUCUGCUUGUGUCUGUAUAAAACCUCAACACAAGAAACAUGAAAGUCACAUGAGCAGAAAGACACGCCAUCCCUUACACUCACGUCUGCUUAUCUGUCUGUCUGUCUGUGAUUGUUGUAGUAUCUGAACAUCUCUUCUCUUUCAUUCUGUUUACGUGGUUCUAGGUUUUAUGAGACUAAACAAGUCCACCAUCUCUCUGCCGUCUGCCUGAGUACAUGCAAAACAAACACGACACACACACACACACACACGUGCCACAAAAACAGUUUUAAAAUAAAACAUGCUUUUAUUCAGAAUAUCAGUCUUGCAUGUGUUGAUUUUCACUCAUUUUAAAGCUUUUAUUAACAGAUCUGAACAUAACAGUAAACCAAAUAUUAGAUGUUGCCCUUUCUAUAAAUAACAUGAUAUGUAACAAAAUGAAUGUUUUGCUAAUGUUCCCAUUAAGUUAUUCCCAAAACGUUCCCAAAAUGUUAUUUCUGGAUUUUUUUAUAUUUUAAAAAUGUUUUUUCUUGGUUAUGUGAAUGGUAAGAGAACAUUCCAUUUUAAGAAUGUUACUUUUGAAUGUUCUUUGAACUUUUUGAAACAAGUAGUAACAGUUAAAAAAAUGUUAGAUGAACGUCCAACUCAAACAAUUUAGAAAAAAACGUUCCAUGAAAGAUGCAUAUAUGAUGUUUUUGUGCAAAUGUUUUGAGAACAUUAUUAAAGACCAGAUAACAAUGAACGAACAUUCUAUUAACCAUACUGAAAGAACGUUUGCUCAUAACGUUCUAAGAAUGUUCCCUGUUAGCUGGGAUUAUGACAUUUAUGAGAACACUGAUCUGACAGAAGCUAAAAACAUAAACCCACUGAAUCAUGAAGACAAACUGCUGUUGUGUUUGGAUGUUUUUAUGAUUAACAUCUCACUGUUCUUUAUGCUGCUUUCAGCUUCAGAAUGAGGAGAUCAGAUGAGAUGUGAUGAAGCUCCUGCGGGUUGUAUUGAGGCUGAAUGUCAGUCUUUGUUUCACAUCAGUGUGUUUCUAAAACCCUCAGGAUUCACGUUCACUGUAGCUGGCUGCACAGGCCUGCUGUUCUCAGAAAGAUCUCUCACUUUCUACUAGAUGGCAAAGUCGACAUCCAGCAUUGUUACGGGAUCUGAACCAUCUGGAGCAGCUCGUCUGUAAAUUUCUAAUCCACGUUGCCAGAUAAUGUGUACUUUGAGUGGAGAAAUAUGGCCAUUUUAUUCCAAACAUGUUUAAAAUGUCAUUAUCAAACACAAUACAUCAUUUAAGAUGCGAUGAACAUUACACCUAUGGUUUCGUUUGAAACAUGAAGGUCUACAGUUUUGCUUUACUGUGUGUUAAUUUGAUUUUAUUUUGGCACAUUCAGGUGAUUUUCUGUAAUGGAUAUCUGGUAACAAUGCAUCAUCACAAUGCAUCAAAUUCCUGUUCAGCCUUUCUAGUGAAUGUAAACGCCUACAUUAGGGUGAUGGGACAGUCCCGAAACUGUGAGCUUUGUCCCGUGUCCUGCAAGAUGUAAUUUCUGUGUUUUUAUUUCUUUCUUCCCUGAAAUUACAAUACCAUAAUAAAUAAAUAUAAUAUAAAAACUGA